rnacentral:rRNA from 1 species
CCUACGGGAGGCAGCAGUAGGGAAUCUUCCACAAUGGACGAAAGUCUGAUGGAGCAACGCCGCGUGAACGAUGAAGGCCUUCGGGUCGUAAAGUUCUGUUGUAAGGGAAGAACAAGUGCCGCAGGCAAUAGCGGCACCUUGACGGUACCUUGCGAGAAAGCCACGGCUAACUACGUGCCAGCAGCCGCGGUAAUACGUAGGUGGCAAGCGUUGUCCGGAAUUAUUGGGCGUAAAGCGCGCGCAGGCGGCCUCUUAAGUCUGAUGUGAAAGCCCCCGGCUCAACCGGGGAGGGCCAUUGGAAACUGGGAGGCUUGAGUAUAGGAGAGAAGAGUGGAAUUCCACGUGUAGCGGUGAAAUGCGUAGAGAUGUGGAGGAACACCAGUGGCGAAGGCGACUCUUUGGCCUAUAACUGACGCUGAGGCGCGAAAGCGUGGGGAGCAAACAGGAUUAGAUACCCUGGUAGUCCACGCCGUAUACGAUGAGUGCUAGGUGUUGGAGGGUUUCCGCCCUUCASUGCUGAAGCUAACGCAUUANGCACUCCGCCUGNNGAGUACGGUCGCAAGGCUGAAACUCAAAUGAAUUGACGGGG